rnacentral:rRNA from 1 species
AGGAUUAACGCUGGCGGCGUGCCUAACACAUGCAAGUCGAACGAGGUAGCAAUACCUAGUGGCAGACGGGUGAGUAACGCGUGGUCAACCUACCGUUGAGUGGGGGAUAACUAGCCGAAAGGUUAGCUAAUACCGCAUACGAGUCUCGGGGGCAUCCCUGGGCCUUAAAAGGAGCAAUCCGCUCGAUGACGGGACCGCGUCCCAUUAGCUAGAUGGUGGGGUAAUGGCCUACCAUGGCUCCGAUGGGUAGCUGGUUUGAGAGAGCGACCAGCCACACUGGGACUGAGAAACGGCCCAGACUCCUACGGGAGGCAGCAGUGAGGAAUUUUCCGCAAUGGGCGAAAGCCUGACGGAGCGACGCCGCGUGUGGGAAGAAGGCCUUCGGGUCGUAAACCACUGUCGAAGGGGACGAUAAUGACGGUACCUUGGAGGAAGCCCCGGGCUAACUACGUGCCAGCAGCCGC